rnacentral:lncRNA from 1 species
UUUGAUUCACCAUUUCGGGUAAGCAAUUAAUGCCCAACGACUCUCUCUGUCUCACUAUGGAAUUCAAAUUCCUCAAGAAAUCAAUUCAAUUCCAGUUUGAAAUCCAAAAAUAAACCUUAUUCUCUCUUCUAUAAAUAUAUAGUGAUGAAUAGAGGUUAGAGGGGGGAUUUUUGGGCAAAAACUUGGAGAUUCUGGAGAAGCAUUCCUCCAAUCUCACAUAAACAAAAAUUUGCCGAAACCAUUUGAAACUCUGGCAAAAUCGAUCUGAAUUCUUAUUUUAAAGUCGUCUUUGUCAUCUCGUUGUCCCGGUUCCUGCCUCAAAAAAGGUAAACUUCCCCGUCCUCUCGUUUUGAUGUAAUUCUGGUUGCAAUUUUUGUCAUUGACAUUGUCGUGUAUUGGUCGUCGAUAUAUUAUCGUGGAAUGGGGAAAUUGACUUGGGAUUUUAUUCUCGAUGAUUGACUAUGUGAUUUGGACUCUCAGGAUUGAUUUGCUGGAAUUGUAGUCAAAUUAGAACAAAGUUGGUUAAUGAAUGUGUAUUUACGUGUUGGGUUUAUUUGGGCUGUGCUGAUAUCGAUUUGCAUGCUCUCUUGUGUAAAACCAUGGAUUCAUCUUGUAACUUCGACUGAUUUUACACUUUGUAUAUUUCGAGUUUGAUCUUUGAGAAUAACCCGCAAAUAUUCAAAGUAAUGGCCAGCUUUACUACUAUUGACUCUGAUUUUAUAUGAUUUCGUUGCUCCAAAUUGUCUGACAGAAAAGUAAUUUAGUUAGCGGGGUUGGUUGAGACUAUUUAAAUUUAGUCAGAUCCGCGUUAGUAGUUUUAUUACCUGCGAAUUUUGAAAAGGAAGAAUAGUAGUUUGUUGUAUAGAUGCCGUCAUUCGGCCCCGUUUAUCGUAAAAUCCAUGUCGAUGAACUAACAUCUUUGAUAUGCAUGUUCAGUGAUAUGAUGUAAUCCAAUUUUGUAAUUCUUUACAUCUUAAAUUAAUGUGUUUACUUAAGUAAGUCUAGUUAGGUUCCUAGAAAAAUUGUUUGUUACCUAUAUUGAGGCAGUUAGUGUGGUAUAUCAAGUUCAUAUCCCCUCUAGCCCAUAAAGUGUUCAUUUGUAUUGGCCUGCUAAUGACAUGAUUUAAUUUUCUUAAGUGUUUAAAUGUUAUUAUUGAUAUUAUUAUUAUUAUUAUUAUUAGUAUUAGUAUUAGUAUUAGUAUAGGAAUGGUAAUUGCAAUUUAUGUAUGUCUAUGCCGUGUAUGACGCCAUUCCCGUAUUGUUCUCUAAUUCUUAUCUUUUAUUUGAUGCAUGUGACACAAACUCGAGUUCGCUGGACUCCAUUUUCCUUGCAUAUCUUAUUGGGCCAAAGAGGCCUCGAUCUCGAUUCAAGCGUUAAAGUCCAAAACUGGACUGAUAUACACAGGCUAUACGCUUAGAUACAGUUGGUGUACACUGGAAAAGAGCUGAUAAUGGCGUAUAUUAAAAGUGGAAGCGAGCAUACAAGGUUUAUACACAGAUAUACAGCGCGUAUACAAAAAAGAAGCAGCAAUAGGGCUGAUAUACAGUCAGUAUACAACUGAUAUACACUUCAGAAAAAUGGACAGGUCCAUAAUUCAAGCCCAAGACUGGCAGCUUCAUUAAUGGGCCAAUUGAGGGCCCAAUUUUAAUUCUCGCAUUAUUUUUUGUAGCUUGUAUUGUUUAUUUGUGCUAACUAACAUUUAAAUUAAUUAAUCUACGUAAAUUCCCUAAAAUGUCAUCAUUUUAUUUUAUCUUAGUUCUCUUUACUUAAUUUACGACCUUUUCACCUAAUAUUAUUUCGUAUAAAAUUGGAUUAAAUUGUUUCUUUCAAUUUUCUUCUUACAACAAGUCGUUUAAAGAUUAAGUAUUUUUUAUGACACUUUAUUUUGCUCAUUUGAUUAAUAGUUUAUUUGAAUUUAAUUAAUUUCCUUCAAAUCCAAGAAACUAUUUUUUCUUGUAAAUUCAAACUUUCUAUAAUUAAUAAGAUGUUUUUAAUAUGAUGAGCGCUUAACGUUCUUCCCGAAAAGUGUUAUUCGGAUUUCUUAUGGUUUAAUAAUAAUAAAAAAUAAUAAUUACGCAAACUUCUUUUUUUCAUAAUAAAGACAGAAAUUGUUUGUUAUUGAAGUCCCAAAGAAAUGGCAACUUAGUUUAAUUCAAAUAGAAUUUCUCUAUUUUGAAUUAAUAAAUAUCAUUUUUCAAUUUUUUUAAUAAAUAUUUUUUAUAUUUUCUACAAAAUCAACCUUUUACGAAAUUAGCCACCUCUAAUUAGUCAAGUUAGCUUCCUUUUGGUAAACCAUUUUAAACGGACGCUCUUAGUGCCUUAAAAAUCUUCUUAGGGCGUUUAUCGA